rnacentral:lncRNA from 1 species
AAUGGUUUAAUCCUCUCACCUGGCGAUCUUACACUUCCACGUCACAGCCUCUGCCCAGCCACAGAAGGAGUUCUGCCGCUGGAGCUAUGGACCCUUACAGGUUCCUGAACAUCUAUAUUCUCCUCUGCAAAAUGAGGGCAGAUGAGAACUUCUGCUCUCCGCAGCACCCUCCAACGUGUAACCCAUAGGACUGAGUCACGGUCAGCCCCUCUGAGUGAGAAGCAGGAGUUGUGUGUCUGGGUCUGUUCACUCACCACUGGCUCUCCAGAAUCGGGGUGGAAGAAAGGGAAAGAGGAAGAGAGAGAAACAUCCUCUCCUCAUUGCCAUUGCCCCUGCUUUGGUCUUAGUUCUCCCUUGGCUAAUAAGGGCCUUUCUGUGAUUGGAGCUCCCACCCCUCAGUCUUUGGAGCACUGGGCAUGUGGGUUACUGGCAUGCACCCUGAGCACCAUGAGCAGUACACAGCUCCCUGAUGUUAGUGGGAGUGAUGUCUUACCAUCUUCCACACCAAGCAUUGGCAGCUACCCUAAACCAUUGUCUACUGGGGUGAACUUCGUGGAGCUUUAAAUCCAGUUACCUUCCAAAAUACUCUCUUGCCCUGUGGAAAACGAAGGCAUCCCUUCAUGCUAAAUAGUGGAGUCACACGACCCCUCUGCUGCUGCUUCUCCUUGCCCUCCUAUUGCAAACUGUUCCUCUGGCCUCGUACCUUCAGGGUGCUCACACAGGAUGUAGCACAAUUCUCGGGGUUCACAUGGGACCCCCACCUCUAGGAAAGGAAGUAUUUUGUCAAGCUCCAGAACCCUCUCAGUCUGCUCUGCUUGGGAAGCAGCACCUCCACGAACCUGGAAAUGUCUAUCCCUCAGCCAGCAUCCAGCAAGCAGCAAAAAGCCAGGCUUCCCUCCUUGUUCUCUUAUAGCUAGUUCCAUCUAGCCUGAAAAGUGGGUAACCUGUGGGGAAUGGAGAGGAAGACGACACAAGAAUCACUAUUCAACUGAUAGCUCAUCGGUAUGCAGUUCCCACCUAAGCAGAUUGACUGUGAGUGUCUUUGCUUAUGUAGACUGACUGAGGUGGUGGAAUGUUACACGACUAUCUGGUCUACCCUUUAACAGCAUCUGCAGUCAUGUACUAGCAUCUCCUCCUUAGAACGUGAGGGUUCUUUCAGCUUUGCAGCUGUAGCCUGGAGUCCAAGAAAAGAAGAAUCCCAUUUAUCAUCCUGUUAAAGAAAUUUAAUUAUGU